GCAGUCACUUUGUGCACUGCUUCCAUCUCUUUUUCAACGCAAAGCCGCAGCGAGAGGUUGUCUUUGUGUUUGCGAUGGAUAUACUUAAUUAUAUUUAUAAAAUGAUUCUAAUGGCUUGGAAUAGUUAAUAGAUGCCGCAUUAAUCUCUGUCGGAUUCAGUUAAACAUAAAUAUGAAAUGAAUGAAUAUAAUAUUCUACUGCCGGUUCUUUCAUAAACCACGUGCACGUGUUGUCAGAAUGUUAAGCUAGCUCCACGUGUUCAGAAUAUCUGUUUGAAAUUAGGCACUUGGCUUUUUUCUAAGUUGGCAGCUGUGGACUAGGAAAGUACUUCGAAUAGAAUAUUCCACUUUGCUAUGAAAAAAG